UUUUCAGCUCCGCAGACCCCGUUGCUGCCCUGUCUCUGUCGGCCCGAUCAGCGCCCACCUCUACUUUUCUCUUCCGCGUAGAAUGUGGCUGGGGCGUCGGGAAGAAAGGGGAGCUUCACCAUUCACUUCUUUUGCCAGCUCUUGGAAAUAUCCAGAAUGCCUGGCCCUCAAGACAAACCCCAGCUCUCGGCCUAAAAAGCUAAGUCCAGAUAUGUUAUAUAUUUAUUCAAGGCAGCAAUUGGCCAGGAAACGACUAUAAAACACACAUUUUGAAUAAAAGAGGGAGAUUUAUGGUGCAUUUGUGAAUCUGAGUCAUAUCUCUCUGCCUCCCCCAGGCCAGGAUCCCUUAAUCACUAACAUACCCCCAGCCUGUACACUCGGUGGGCACAGAAUUGCUUCCUUCUGGUCCCGUCCCAGUUAAAGAUGUGGUGGGGAUUGUGCUACUUGGACUGACAGUCGGGAAAGAAGGCAGGUAGCAGAGAGAGCUGGGCAAGGCCACUGCCAAUGGCUAGACUUCCAGCUUACGUUACUUCAAGCAGAUAAACAGAACAGGAAAGGACAAAACUCAACCCGCAGAAUACCUGAAUUGGGUUGGAGCAGGAUCCAACCCUACGGCAACUAUCUUAUGCCCGUGGUUUUUAGACGUUGACUUCUCCGGAGGCAGAGGGCUGGGACAGAAGAUCUCUACGCGAUUUCCACAUCAAGAUUUUUAUCAGCUAGGGUACCACCUUAAAGAAAAGAACGUAAUGACAGGAGUCGUGGUACAGAGCUGCCAGGGACAGCUGGGCAGGCUGUGCACUGCACCACUCCAAGAGGCACCACUCAGGGCUCCCUCAAAGCAGCCCCUGACACCAGCAUUUGGGAGCAGCGGUCUGUGUGGGCGAGACCAGGAAGGUGAGGAGGCUUGCUCAAGGCCACGGGGCUAUGUAGUGGGGUGAACACUUGGGCAAAACCCUAUUCGUGCUGGAUUCCUCGUGUGAUGGGCAUUCGGUUUUUUUCGACCUCCUUGCCUCCAUUACUCCUUUUUUGGAGGGGGCACCCCAGUCUUUUGAUGGGGUUUCUCUCUCCUUCAUUAACAGGCAGAAGAAUGCAGUUGUGAGGUCAGAAGAGAGAAGGCGUGGGGUUGUCGGCCUUUUGGGGCGUAGAGAUUUCUGGUCGCUCGUGGUUGCCGCAGGGGGACCCGGGGUUGAGGUGGGGCCUGGGUGGAAGACCUGUGUUUGAAUUCUCGUCCUAAGUGACGACAGUGGCGAUGGCGAGGAUGGUGACGUUUUCCCAACCCUCA